rnacentral:rRNA from 1 species
UACAGAGGGGGCAAGCGUUGUUCGGAAUUACUGGGCGUAAAGGGCGCGUAGGCGGCCUUCUAAGUCGAACGUGAAAUCCCCGGGCUCAACCCGGGAACUGCGUCUGAUACUGGACGGCUUGAGUAUGGGAGAGGGAUGUAGAAUUCCAGGUGUAGCGGUGAAAUGCGUAGAUAUCGAGAGGAACACCUGCGGCGAAGGCGGGUAGCUGGGCCGACACUGACGCUGAGGCGCGAAAGCCAGGGGAGCGAACGGG